UUCAAGCAGACUCCUGCCAGCAAGGU
rnacentral:piRNA from 1 species